GUAAAUGUGGCAGAUCAAUGCUUUAAGUUUAGGACUUAAUUAUAGACUUAGUCUCGUUUAUU
rnacentral:tRNA from 1 species